rnacentral:rRNA from 1 species
UACGUAGGGACCGAGCGUUGUCCGGAAUCACUGGGCGUAAAGAGCGUGUAGGCGGCCACUUAAGUCCUGCGUGAAAUCUUGCGGCUCAACCGCAAGCGGUCGUGGGAAACUGGGUGGCUAGAGUGCGGGAGAGGAGAGUGGAAUUCCUGGUGUAGCGGUGGAAUGCGCAGAUAUCAGGAAGAACACCAACGGCGAAGGCAGCUCGCUGGGACGGAACUGACGCUGAGGCGCGAAAGCGUGGGGAGCGAACAGG